rnacentral:rRNA from 1 species
AGCGAACGCUGGCGGCAGGCCUAACACAUGCAAGUCGAACGGAUCCUUCGGGAUUAGUGGCGGACGGGUGAGUAACACGUGGGAACGUGCCCUUUGGUUCGGAACAACUCAGGGAAACUUGAGCUAAUACCGGAUGUGCCCUUCGGGGGAAAGAUUUAUCGCCAUUGGAGCGGCCCGCGUCUGAUUAGCUAGUUGGUGAGGUAACGGCCCACCAAGGCGACGAUCAGUAGCUGAUCUGAGAGGAUGAUCAGCCACACUGGGACUGAGACACGGCCCAGACUCCUACGGGAGGCAGCAGUGGGGAAUCUUGCGCAAUGGGCGAAAGCCUGACGCAGCCAUGCCGCGUGAAUGAUGAAGGUCUUAGGAUUGUAAAAUUCUUUCAGCGGGGACGAUAAUGACGGUACCCGCAGAAGAAGCUCCGGCUAACUUCGUG